GCCGAAACAGCAAACUGGUCCUGGAUUGUAGUACUCGCUCCAGCAGGGCAGACAGGGGUGAGAGGAAGUGUCAACUCAGGACACUGCAGCCAGGAAAAAUCUGGUAAUCCAAAAAUGACAGUGGGCCAAAUACAGGAGAACACAGACUUAAGGGAUCCCAGACAAGGAAGUUUGGACUUAACUGGCUGGAUCCCCAAAUGGUGGUUCUCAGAGCGGUCACUGGUUGGCAGCAGGACGCAGCAGCGGUGACAGAAACUAGGGAGUAGUCAGAUGGAGCCAUGGACAAUCCAGAUUGGCAAGUUAAUUACCAAAAGCAA